CGAAGGGUGCAAGCGUUGCUCGGAAUUAUUGGGCGUAAAGGGUAGGUAGGUGGUCAUACAAGUCUGGGGUGAAAUCCCUGAGCUCAACUCAGGACGUGCCUUGGAAACUGUAUUACUAGAGUGCUGGAGAGGUCCGCAGAAUUCCCGGUGUAGCGGUGAAAUGCGUAGAGAUCGGGAGGAAUACCAGAGGCGAAGGCGGCGGACUGGACAGUCACUGACACUCAACUACGAAAGCGUGGGUAGCAAACAGGAUUAGAUACCCCGGUAGUCCACGCUGUAAACGAUCGGUACUAGAGAUGGUGGGAGUUGACCCCUGCCGUCUCGGAGCUAACGCGAUAAGUACCGCGCCUGGGAAGUACGGUCGCAAGACUA
rnacentral:rRNA from 1 species